UAUCUUGCUCUAAAUAAAUAUCUUCCUGAAAAAGAUAUUAUAUUCAUUGAGAUUUAGUUGCGGGUACGUUGUUACUGUACAAUUGUCAUUGUACGUACUGUUCGAACGCCUAAUAUUGCGCGCUCGCGAUCAUAGCGACAGCUUGCGUCGCUCUUACUAAAUUAUUAAAACGAUUGCGAAGACAGACAGGUGAGUUUCGCGGACGAGAAAAGAUGACUUUAUUUUUAUCUCGUGUGAAAUGCGUAUGUACCAGAUUCGUGCUAAUAUAGUGUGAUAAAAAAUCGGUGUUAUUGUUCCUCUUAUCCACACAUAACACGUACAUACAAUUCAUUAGGCAAUUAACGUCAAAUUGAAGAUUGUAAACAGCCCAGCCAUCUUAGCCAAAUGCGCGCGCCACAGCGAACUAUACGUUUCUCACCGCGCUCGGACAAGCCAACACUACUAAAUUGUUGUAUUUUAUUGUGUACUGUACUUUAUAAAAGGAGAAAACGUCCGAAAUUAACUGGGAACAAUUCCAAUGGGGACAUCUCCUCGAUCGGUCAUGCAGCGAUUUACUUUAAAGUGAGCAGAUCUCCCUAUUCGGUUGGCUAAGUGCGAAUCAGGAUAAGAAUAUUCGUCGAUGGUCUGGGUAGUUCAAUUGGAAAAGCAGCCGUCGAAUGAAAGAUCCUAGCUCAAGCCCGAGGGAACAGCAAACUCGAUUAGCUGAAUAUUUUCUUCCUUACAAGAUCGCUUUAACAAGUGAAGAAAAAAGAAGAAUGCGAUAAUUAAAGAGCUUAUAGCGCUCAUCGAGUGGAUAAUCGUGUAACGAACAUUGAUUUUAAAAGUAAUCCUGUCGAUAUGAAAUCAAUUUUUAUUAUUUACUAAUGUUUCGUAUCGUGACUCUUCACAGCACAUUGAAUUUACACGCUUCAUAGACACAUCUGUAAUACAAAUCUUCAUAUCGGCAAUCAUAUAAUACAUUGACGUACAUUUUCAGAUAUCGCUUUCGUUCUACUGUCCAACACGCGUUGUCGUAAGUGCAAUUUUCAGUCGUAAGCAUUAUUUAUCAGCGAUGAUCAGACCAAAGUUUCUAAGCGACCAAAAGAAAAUUCAGAGAAUUCAAGUCAAACGAUCGAGCAAGCUAUCCUCCUCGUCUUAUCCGCCUUUCUCCGAAGGUUUGAUUUACACGCUGCCUCCUGUUAGUCAGUUAACUGCGUUCGACAUGUAUACACGUCAAUCUAAAACUUUAUUUCGGUGCGGUUGACGCGUAUACUCGUCGUGUCAAAUAAAAAAUUA